ACUGUAUCCAAUCAUUUUUGCCCCUGUGUGAUCAGAGCCUGAUCUGCAUAUUAAUGUGUCAUUUGACCUUAAAAGAACAUGUAACAAGUGCCAUAUGCAUUUCU